rnacentral:rRNA from 1 species
GCCCUUUUCCGGUUGAUCCUGCCGGACCUGACUGCUAUCGGAUUGAUACUAAGCCAUGCGAGUCAUUGCAGUAAUGCAAGGCAGACGGCUCAGUAACGCGUAGUCAACCUACCCUAUGGACGGGAAUAACCUCGGGAAACUGAGUAUAAUGCCCGAUAGAACACUAUACCUGGAAUGGUUUGUGUUCCAAAUGAAUGUCGCCGUAGGAUGGGACUGCGGCCUAUCAGUUUGUUGGUGAGGUAAUGGCCCACCAAGACUAUUACAGGUACGGGCUCUGAGAGGAGUAGCCCGGAGAUGGGUACUGAGACACGGACCCAGGCCCUAUGGGGCGCAGCAGGCGAGAAAACUUUGCAAUGUGCGAAAGCACGACAAGGUUAAUCCGAGUGGUUUCUGCUAAAGGAACCUUUUGACAGUCCUAGAAACACUGUUGAAUAAGGGGUGGGCAAGUUCUGGUGUCAGCCGCCGCGGUAAAACCAGCACCUCAAGUGGUCAGGAUGAUUAUUGGGCCUAAAGCAUCCGUAGCCGGCUCUGUAAGUUUUCGGUUAAAUCUGUACGCUCAACGUACAGGCUGCCGGGAAUACUGCAGAGCUAGGGAGUGGGAGAGGUAGACGGUACUCGGUAGGAAGGGGUAAAAUCCUUUGAUCUAUUGAUGACCACCUGUGGCGAAGGCGGUCUACCAGAACACGUCCGACGGUGAGGGAUGAAAGCUGGGGGAGCAAACCGGAUUAGAUACCCGGGUAGUCCCAGCUGUAAACUAUGCAAACUCAGUGAUGCAUUGGCUUGUGGCCAAUGCAGCGCUGCAGGGAAGCCGUUAAGUUUGCCGCCUGGGAAGUACGUACGCAAGUAUGAAACUUAAAGGAAUUGGCGGGGGAGCACCACAAGGGGUGAAGCCUGCGGUUCAAUUGGAUUCAACGCCGGGAAGGGC